UUCAAAGAGGAACCAGGAGUACGGGAGGA
rnacentral:piRNA from 1 species